GAAAAAUAUGCAAAAAAAAAAAAAGACCCAACUAGACGAGAAGAAGAAGAAGAGCAGGAGGGCACGACCUUUGACCUACAUUUCACCUCAAAGCAUUUAAAAAGGACGAUUAACACCGAGGUUCAAUCAAACUUUAUUCGUCCUCGUAAGCAGAGUUUGGGCACCGGCGUCCCGUCCUGCUCUUCCUCCGUCUGAUCCUCACUGUGCUCUCAGAUGCUGCCUCUGCUUCGGGUUUCAGAGUCAGAGCGACCCGCCACCUCUGGGUCACCUGCACCGGUCCAGGUGUGCUGUGAUGGGCCGGACCGCUCUCUGCUGUGGCGGCAGCGUCAGUAGACGCGGGACCCAGAGGUGUGACGAUCCCUCGGACUGCGGUGGGGUUUCACAUGCGCUGCUGCCGCUCCGAAAGUCUCGAAGCUCCCAAAUGUUUGUGAGAAUUAAACGAGAUCCUCCCGUCAGACAAACAGCUGUUUGUUUACUUUGAAUGGCAGCGUGCGAUUGGUUGAAUUGGCUGAGAGGCUUCCUGCUGUCGGGGAGGAUGUCCUGAAGUCUCCAAAGGUGUCGUUCGAAGGAGUCUUUCUCUGUGAUCGCCUUCGGAAUCGCCUUUACGGACUCUGAGGGCUCCACAAAGUUCAGAUGAAACGCAGGAACAGUUCGAUGCACUUCUGCUUUAUGUUCCGGACCUUUAACUUCCUGCUCACGCCAGGGUCGGAUGCUCAAAGCAGUUCUGUUCAUCCUCGAUACCUUCAGCUCCCUUGAAACAGCCUCUGGCGACCUCGUUAUUUUUCGUCUUUUUUGUUGGAUUUCUUAAGGAAUAAGUUCACAAAACCUUUGAGAUGGUCUGAUGAAGUCAUCGCAUCACUUCCUGUUUCUCAGAGAGGAUGUUUCUGAAUCACACACAACAAAAAGCAAAUGACAAUCUGCAGAAAGGUGGAAUUUGCUCUCUGUUUGGUUUCCAUUCCUGCUGUCGGCACAGCCGGGCAGAUGGGGAGAAUGAUCCGGGUGUUUUAGCCAUACGCCGCCGCCGCCUCCUUCUCAGCUCGUUGUUAACGUCUCCACGGUCGAGUACAUGGCAGACGCAUUUCUAUCCAGUUUCUAUUUUUUAGUAUGACGUGAUUCUUCUUCUGAUUUCUAUAUUUUGUAGUGUGAUUAAAGUGGUCUUUUUAUAUUCCAGCAGUUUCUACCACACAUUCCAAACGUGCACGUCAGCAGAUGGGACCCGGCCGGCGCCGCCGCAGACGCUGAGCUCAUCUUAGCUGUCCUCCACAGCUGCUCUGUUUUUAAAGGUCGUGUUGAGACAGAGGCAGUCAGUCUGUCACAAAGGUCACGGUGUCUCGACCUCUCGGGCCUCGGAGACUCUCGAGGUGGAGUCGUUUUUUUCCGACUCAUCUUUGAGCAGAAGAUCUUCACAUUUAGAGGCUUCUGUCUUCAUGUCCACCUGUUUUACAGUCGGUCCUCCUAAAAAGAAAAAACAGGACAAAUUUAAAGGGGCGUGACCUCACGAUGGGAGCGUGCUCCCGGUCGUUCCUCACCCUCAGAAUGAGGGUGAGCAGUCGGUGUAGAAGCAGGAACCUUGGACUCCAGCUGGUUCCUCAGUUUUUUUCCUUUUUGGCUCAAAGACUCGAGUUUGAUGAAGCGUGGAAACAUUCAUCAAAUCUGGCUGUCAUGGCGGCAGGUUAGAUAACUGGAAAUACUUCCUGCCAGAAUGCUGUCGUGGACAUGAACAUUAAGGUGCGGGACAUAUUGUUUGUGCAAAAGUCUUGAAUCACAUGUCGCUGUGGAGGAUGGCGUCAGAUGGGGGCGUCUGUAGUCGCGAUGCCAGUCGGGUCCCAUCGAAUCAGAAUCUAAGCUCAAAACACGUCUUUAAGAAAAAAAGAAAGAAGGCAGACGCAGUUAUGGAGCGUUUUUAUUUUUCUAUCCGUACGGCUUCUGUCAGAACAUAAAGACGGCGUCCGGGCCGCUUGGUUUCCUCAUUUUCAGUUUGUGCAUUUUUCUUUCCUUCCCGUCUUCGGCUGACUUCUUUGUGCCGGACUCGUGACUGUCUCGACGUCCUCUGCCGGGCCUUCGUACCUUCAGUAAUACCAAUGUGAAACCUGUAACUCUCCUCAUGGUUCGACUCAGUGGAAGUGUGAUGUUUACAUGUACAGAUUUUUGCUAUUUUUCUUUUCUGGUUCUUUCUGUUUUCAUCUUCAUGCCUCUCUUUUCCACUCCUGAGUUCCUCUGACUCCUUCCUCACACAGGGAAAUGGGACUGAGACUAAAUAUGAUUAUCCACAUUUCACACUCUGCCCUUUCCCACUGUGGAGGCCUGAGAGUGCCAAAAGAACUAAUGGCCUUAGUACUGCACCUUUAAAUGCAUCCAAAUAAGAAAUUAAUCUGAACUGUAAUUCUCCUCUUUAUUUCCUGUUUCAUGUUCUAACUAAGGGAAUAAAGUGCAAAAUGAAUGCAUGAAUAAAUAAAUGUAAUUGGCGCGCAGGUACCCGUGCAGCAGCCAUCUUUGGACCUGACCUAAGGCUCGUUUACAGCUCAGGUAAAUGUUUUGCAGACCGUUAGUUUGAAUUUAAAGUCUGUUUUUAGUUCAUCAGUGUUAGUUUUAGUUUUAGAGCUGCGAGUUUUAUGGGAUUAUAACAAAUGAGGACAUAAUUUAUAUAUUUUUAUUUUCAUUAUUUUCAGUAGUGCGCAGUUUGGUCUAGUUUUUAGAAGACGGCGAUUUCCUGCUGGAGAGGUGGUGAGCCUGGGCCAGAUGUGGUCCAGAUGUUGCCACAGUCACUGAAGCCGGGUCAAAGCCAGGCGGGGUAGAUCUGUACUAAGGUGAAUAGUGAUGUUGAUGCAUUUAACUUUGUGUUAAAGUGUUUGAGCUGUUCAGUCAUUUUGGCAGUUUCAGUCCUCCGUAGGGUUCGGGGGAUCGGGUACUUCCUGUUAGCAUCGUUAGCGCUGAGUUAAAUCUGCCGCGCUAACGUGCUCAGUGAAGAAAGUCGAGGCGUUCCCGGGCGGCCUUCUGGGUGUGGGAGGGGGGAGUUGUGCCAUUGUUGGAGGGGUGGGUUGCGGUUGACCCCCGACCUCUCGGCUGACUCCACAGCACACAGGAUCCCAGCGGGGCCACGGCGACCCUCCGCGAUCUGUGGGAGACGAUUCCUCAGUGAAUGAAAAGCCAUUUCAGGCCCCGGGCGUCGGGUCUUUAGUCUGUUAGUGUAUUUAGCGAAACUUAAACUGCGGACGGCGAAACUCAACCUCAGGAACAGAAAAAAGGACAUGACUUUUAUAAAAGCAGCUGAAGGCCCAUUUCCCUCUCUUUGAUACCAUAUAAAUUAUAUCAAAUCAAUUCUUUUUAUAUUUAUUGUGUUUAUUAUUCUUCUAUAUAACAGUGGAUACCUUUUGCAGUACCUGUGGCUGAAUAUUUUGAUUCUUUAGAAAAGUGUUGAUAAUAUAUGUGAAGCAACUUAAAGGACAGAGGAAAAAAAGAAGAAAUCUGGGUUGUUCUUAUUCUUUCUGUUUGUUGAUGACUACAUAUCACUCUGGUCCAUGACGAAGACACCAAUGAUUAUACAGACUGAGCUUUCUUUGUGUGAUGUCACUGCUAAGGCUGAAAUGUUUCUGGACUUUGUGACCGUUCAGUUUGUUUUUGGUUUGUUUCCUCCUGAGCUGUACAUCACAAAGCUAAAUAUACUAAUAAAAACGGUGUGCUAUCUAUCAGA
ensembl:lncRNA